rnacentral:rRNA from 1 species
UGGGGAAUAUUGCACAAUGGGCGCAAGCCUGAUGCAGCCAUGCCGCGUGUAUGAAGAAGGCCUUCGGGUUGUAAAGUACUUUCAGCGAGGAGGAAGGCGGUAAGGUUAAUAACCUUAUCGAUUGACGUUACUCGCAGAAGAAGCACCGGCUAACUCCGUGCCAGCAGCCGCGGUAAUACGGAGGGUGCAAGCGUUAAUCGGAAUUACUGGGCGUAAAGCGCACGCAGGCGGCCUGUCAAGUCGGAUGUGAAAUCCCCGGGCUCAACCUGGAACUGCAUUCGAAACUGGCAGGCUAGAGUCUUGUAGAGGGGGGUAGAAUUCCAGGUGUAGCGGUGAAAUGCGUAGAGAUCUGGAGGAAUACCGGUGGCGAAGGCGGCCCCCUGGACAAAGACUGACGCUCAGGUGCGAAAGCGUGGGGAGCAAACA